rnacentral:lncRNA from 1 species
GGAGGUGGAGGCGGAGUGUAGUUCUCCGGAGGAGGAAGAGCUUUGAUCUCAUUCAUAUCAACCUCCGCCUCCUCCUCAGGAGCCGGAGCAGGAGGAGCUUCAAUCUCCUUCCGCUCCGGACUCUUCCCCCUCUUAGCUCUAUCCCUCACAAACUCCUCAAGCGUCUCCAACAACUUACUAGUAAUCCUCUGCACCUCAGGAUACUCAGAAGAUCUCGCCACACCUGUAUCCUUACACCAAUGGUAAAAAGCAAUGAGCUCAUCAAUCUGUUUCGCCGCGCUAGCGUAAGCAUCAAACGCCUUAACACAAUCCGUAUACUCCAUCUCAAAAAACUUAUCAAGCAGAACCGCCAACACUUCGCAAAUAUCAGCAUAAAGCCUGAAACUCUCUUUCACAAUGGGAUACAUAGCAACCAAUAUCAUCCUGCUGCUUUUAGCUAAACCGGUGGGACGAGAGGAUAAGAACCGUUCAUUGGGCGUUGCAGCAAUGCUGUUUCCUGCCGAGGUCUCUGUUUCGGUUGGAGUGUCUAGAGGGAGGAUCUUGGUCACAGUUAGAGCUUGGGUCUUGCCUGAUAAGUUGUGCUCUGUCAACUUCACAUAAAACUUGUGUCUUUGUCCGAUGGUGUUGAUUAGAGCUUCCGGGACAGGCACCUCUUGGUCAACUCCUAUGUCAGCAUUAGCCUGACAAUCAGCACAACAGUGUGAGUUCAAUUCAUCUAAGAUUCUAGACUGAUUAUUAGUUACCUCAAAGUAGCUGCUAACUAAUUCCGAUAAAAAAAAAAAAAAAAAAAAAACAGAGCAAGUUCGUUGAGAGAUUGAAGGGAGAUUCCGAGUUUAAUCAGCAAAGAUCAUUACGAAAAUUGAAAAUUGAUAUUUUAGUUUUUGGUGGAAAUAUUCUUUAGGAAAAUACCUUUCUUUCGCUAGAUCUGAGGGAGAGAGAAGUGUUCUCCGGUGGAGGAAAUGUUAAUUCACGGGCGGAGGAGACGGAAUCGGGAUCUGAGAUCUAUGAGGAAGGUGAAGAAGAAGAUCUCAUAUUACGACUUAUUUGGCGGUGUGACAGAUCCAUCGAACGAGUCCAAGAUGAAGUGGCUUGGGUUUAGACAGAGGGAGAGGAUUUAAAGAGAGUUUGAGUUGUGGAUGACGUGGAUUAAUGAAAGCCGUUUGAUCUAAAGGAGAUGCGAUGUGAUUUUGUAACCGGAACUAACGGAGCCGUUUUGUCUGAGUCUUGCACUCUCUGGUCUGAACACUGUUAGUGAUUUUUCUUUUUUUUUUGUGAAAAGCAAUGUCAACGUUUUGUAGGAGUUUUUAUGUGUGUUUACAGCUGUUUGUAUAGUUUCUUUUACUAGAUGAUUUUCUUUAUAUUUCUAAAAAAAGUAUUUUUAUUAAUUUAUGAGAAAAAGACUAGAAUAGCACUAAACCAAGUUUAUGUUCCCAAAGUAGCACUCAAGGCUCAAAGUCACAAAAAUAGGUUUCAUUAAAGAGGUAAAUAUACAUUUAUACCCCUUGGGUUAAUUAAUCCAAACCUUAGGGUUUAGAGUUAAGGGGUGGGGUUUUGGAAUUAGGGUUUAAAAUUUUAUAAAAAAAAAUACGAAAAUAAAAAAUAAAAAUUUUAAAAACAGUUUCAAAAAGUAUUUUUAAAUUAUAAAAAGAAAAUUUGAAAAAAAAAAAUAAAAAAAAAAUUCGAAAAAAAAAAAUUAUAAAAAUUUCGAAUCUGAAAAAUAUAAUCUGAAACUAUAAAAAAAAAAAAUUCUUUUUUUCAUUUUUUUUAUUUUUAUUUUAUUUAUUUUUAUUUAUUUAUUUUUGUUUGUUUAUUUAAUUUUAAACCAAGGGUAUUAGGGAUAUUUUACCCUUUAAUGAAUGUCAUUUUUGUGACUUUCUCCUUCUAGUGCUAUUUUUGAGACAUAAACUUCAAAGGUGCUAUUAUUGACAAUUGCCCUUAAUUUAUUGCAGAUUUUCAUUUUGUUUACUUAAAAAUCUUUAACAAAAUUUAGAUAGAAAUUCCUUUACUGUUAAUUUUAACAAUAAUUAAAUAAUUAAUUUUGACAACAGAGAUUUUUUCAUAAAAUAUCUCAGUACGUAUUUAAUUAAUAAUAAUAAAAUGAGAAAAUACUUUCAUUUAGUAUUUUCAUGAAAUACUCAUAAAACAUGUUAUUUUAUGAAUGGUACAACUUAAAGAAAUAAAAUUAUUGCAUUAUUAAUUUAUAAUAAAAUAUUAAUAUUUUGUGAAAAAAAUAAAAGAAUUAAGAUGUCAUAGAUGGAGAUGCUAUUACAGCCUGACAACACAAUUCCGCUAUUAAAGCCUGACAACACAAUUCCGAAAGUACAUUUCUUCGAUCAUUCCUUUAGAUGGCACUAAACAUGUCAUUAGCAUUAAAUAAUAUAUCACAAUGCAAAUCUAUAACUAUCAUAUAAGACUUCUUAUCGAGAUUAUCCAUUAGUAGCAUCACUCUUACAGAAGUGGAUCCAGAUUAGCCAAGUAUUAACAGUCUACAUUAAAUUCCCUGACUUUGGUAAUGUCAAAAUCUUAAUUUCCCAGUAGACAUGACUAGAACCUUUAUGGCUUCACCAUAUUAAACUUUACCCUCAAAUUAAUCACCACCUGAGACCACAAGUUCUGGUUAGACUAUCACUCCCGUGGAACAUAUAUAUCUAAUAAGCGGCAUGCCAAUCUUAUAUUCUUUCAUGUCAUUCAUUUUUGUUUAUUCAUGAUUAUCCAUCUUGUUCUGAUCUGUUCAAAACUUAAGAUUUUGGAUCAUCCUCAGAUCAAUUUAAAGUGGUUUCAGAUAUUUAAGUGACAUGCCCAUACUGACACAACCAGUCACGAAUUUAAUAUCAUGGUUCCACAUCCAUCGAUUUCAGUUUAUGUUUCUUGUUCUUUUUUUUUCCUAGUUUCUCAAUUAAACGAGUUUAAUUUUUUAAAAAAUUUGGAAUGCCAGGAAGGGAUCGAUAAUAUCUAAAAAGCUAUUCAGUUUCCACUUGAUUUAUUCACUGAAUUCUUCUUAUUUACAAUCUUACUUGUAGACACGCUUUGAACCACUAAUUGAAUAGAUCAGAAAGAGUGCAACCAAAGAGGGUAAACACUCUGCGACAAUUGAUGGUCAGUUGAUGUUCAUAGGAUCUAUUUUUCGAUCAUUUAUGUGUUCCUUAAUGAUCUAUAUUUCAUCUUGUAGUUUAUUUGGCAAAUCUGUUGCCUGUUUAUGCUUCUUUAUGUAUCUUUUCCUCCUCUAGAGGAGGUUGAAACAUGAAAUUAAUAAGAGUAUGAUUUGUCCAAAAAAGAGGAAAUUUCUUUAUGUUACCGUCCAUGUUUAGCCAUGAUUCUUGAUAAGUGACAAAAUACCUAAACCAAUGAACUGGAUACUAAAGGAGAAUACAGAACAAGAAUUCGAGUAGAAAUUUAAUCAGAUAGAUAGUAUUCGAGUUGAAUAUUUUCUUAUCAUUAAAACAAAAGUCUUGUAUAUGGACACGGACAAUCUCUAGUUAUUGAUAUUCGAUGAACAGAUUCAGCAAAGAUCCUGCAAAACCAAAUCAAGAAUUUAGACAUUGAUAUGCCAGUCACCCAUAUCCGAAUAUAGAGAAGUAAUUACAUACUUCCAUGGAACAUCCCCUGGUAAUAGCCAGUCACCCUCUUUCCCCUGGAAGGUGAAUUUGUAACUUGUAUCUUCUCCAAUCUUGGUCUGACAAAACAAAAAUAUAUUUAGUGUUCAGAAGACUCUUGAAAAGUUAUAUGAUAUGUUUCAUUUGUUUUAUAGGCUUAGGAGAGUGUUUACUCACAUUGACUAAACAUGGCGAUCAAGGAGUUCGUGAGAGACUCGUAAGAGUUGAAAAGCUUGAUGUCCACCUUUCUUGUUAUUGCGACACCAUCCAUCUUCACUUUAACAUACAUUGAUGAUCUCAAUGAGGUUAACGGUCCACCUCUUUCAGUGGUAGCCGGUUGAUUAGAUAUGUUGAUCCUCCUACCAUGAUGGUGAUAUGGGUGAUUACGACUACGAUGACGAUAAUUAAGAUACUUUUUCAUACAUGACUUUAUUGGUGGCCAUCCAACGACUUUGCAAUUCUCUUCCUCGCUAUAUAUAAAAAUUUAAUUAAGUAUUUUAAAGAUACAAUGCCUCCCCGAUUUUUGUAUAACUACGCAACGAUUCUAAGAAACUUGUAAGUACGUAAUCCAUAUAUUAUAUGUAGAGAUAACUGUUUUUUUAACCUUACUAUUGUCAAAUAUAGAGUUUGUUACUCACUCGUACACAACAGAAGAGUCGGGCUCCAGAGGAUCAUCAUCUUCCUUGUCUGACUGGCCAUUCAAAGAAAAUGAACGUGGUUUUGAUACAUAACAAUCUUCUUCCAUAUUUUCCAACCCAAGCAUCGCAUCAAAACGUUUUUCUUUGGUAUUCAAAUGCUUGUUGAGAUCGAAGCCUAACCCGAAAUUUGAAGAAUUAGUAUGAGGUGAAAGAGAAAGAUCAAGAUCCAGCUCCAUUUCUGGUGAAGCUUCGUCUUUGAUGAAAAAAGUUUAUGUUCUUUUGUUGUUUGGCUUUGGAAAAGGUUGUGUGCAUAAUUAGAGGAUCAUGAGUAUUCCCUAUUUAUAGUAAAAAGGAAAGGGUACCAAAGUCAAGGAAGGAUAUAUGGCUUUAUCGUCAAUAUAUAUGUACUCACACAAAUAUAGAUGUCGAUGGAUGUGUUAUGGUAUCUUAAGCAACACGAUGCUACAUAAACUAAACAAGUAAUCAAUCAAAGUAUUAGAAUACUAAUUAUUCCUUUUCCGUUAAAUCCUCAACUAUUAUAGUUCAUAUAUUUUUUUCUUGGACCAACAACUAUAACAUAUACUUGACUAGAGGAAAUCAUCUUCAAAAGUUACAUCGUAUUUAAUUAAAUUUCAUAUCCAACAUGAAUUAAAUAACGUUUCACCGGUUAAACGAACUAUGUUUAGGUGAAGAUAAUAACAGAGAUUCAUUCUAACUAUUAUACUUAAGUAGCUUAGCAGACUAGCAAUCGUGCAAAAUUAAGCAUUUAAAACAACGAGAACGAUGACGAUAAUUAAGAUACUUUUUCAUACAUGACUUUAUUGGUGGCCAUCCAACGACUUUGCAAUUCUCUUCCUCGCUAUAUAUAAAAAUUUAAUUAAGUAUUUUAAAGAUACAAUGCCUCCCCGAUUUUUGUAUAACUACGCAACGAUUCUAAGAAACUUGUAAGUACGUAAUCCAUAUAUUAUAUGUAGAGAUAACUGUUUUUUUAACCUUACUAUUGUCAAAUAUAGAGUUUGUUACUCACUCGUACACAACAGAAGAGUCGGGCUCCAGAGGAUCAUCAUCUUCCUUGUCUGACUGGCCAUUCAAAGAAAAUGAACGUGGUUUUGAUACAUAACAAUCUUCUUCCAUAUUUUCCAACCCAAGCAUCGCAUCAAAACGUUUUUCUUUGGUAUUCAAAUGCUUGUUGAGAUCGAAGCCUAACCCGAAAUUUGAAGAAUUAGUAUGAGGUGAAAGAGAAAGAUCAAGAUCCAGCUCCAUUUCUGGUGAAGCUUCGUCUUUGAUGAAAAAAGUUUAUGUUCUUUUGUUGUUUGGCUUUGGAAAAGGUUGUGUGCAUAAUUAGAGGAUCAUGAGUAUUCCCUAUUUAUAGUAAAAAGGAAAGGGUACCAAAGUCAAGGAAGGAUAUAUGGCUUUAUCGUCAAUAUAUAUGUACUCACACAAAUAUAGAUGUCGAUGGAUGUGUUAUGGUAUCUUAAGCAACACGAUGCUACAUAAACUAAACAAGUAAUCAAUCAAAGUAUUAGAAUACUAAUUAUUCCUUUUCCGUUAAAUCCUCAACUAUUAUAGUUCAUAUAUUUUUUUCUUGGACCAACAACUAUAACAUAUACUUGACUAGAGGAAAUCAUCUUCAAAAGUUACAUCGUAUUUAAUUAAAUUUCAUAUCCAACAUGAAUUAAAUAACGUUUCACCGGUUAAACGAACUAUGUUUAGGUGAAGAUAAUAACAGAGAUUCAUUCUAACUAUUAUACUUAAGUAGCUUAGCAGACUAGCAAUCGUGCAAAAUUAAGCAUUUAAAACAACGAGAAUACGAGAUAGUUUCCCUCACAAAAUUAAUUUUAGUUGGUUUCUAAUAUGUAUACAUUUAAGGCUUUCAAAUGAAGAGAAAGGUAGUGAGGAAGUUCCGAAGGGGAAAAGAGAAACAAUGACCUUUGUCUUUUGGGAUGGAAGUAAUGACUUCCGACAUUAAUUAAGUUCAGGUCGGCCAAUAUCCUAACAUUGAUGCUAACACCUUUGUACAUUAGUAGUAUUAUUUUAUCUAAAUUGUUAUGCUUUUCAUAUAUAAAAUAGUUACUUUUAUUCAAUAUUCAUCUACACUAAAUGUUAACUCCUUUCUUUGCAGUUUUGUAACUUCGGCUACAAAUAUAUAACUACAAUCGAUACAAUAUAUGGACUUGUAGAUACAUUUCUUACAUGAUAAAUUAUUAAUUAUAUUUAAUCAUAUAAACUUGUAAUCGAUUUUUUUUUGUGGUUGGCUUAUACCUUAUUUUCUAUGUUUGCGUUACAACUCACAUUUAUCGCAAUAUCCAAUUAGCGUAUUUAUUAAGAGAACUAAAGCAAAUACCAAAGAUAUGAUAAAAGUGUGUUUGUAUGAUUGUAUCUAUAUUACUAAGCUAGAAAUAAGAAGAGCCAUCGACCAUCGUUAAGGGACACAUGAUUCAACGAAUAUAGACAUGCAACAUCCAUCUAAUAUGGAUAUUAAUAGACAAGUUUGGUUAUUGUUGGAACGGACUACCUCCUAUAUUUUUGUUUACAUUCUAUGUUUCUACUAGAAAAUUGAUUUCACACGGAGUACAUUUAAGAAUGAUGUUAUCCAAUAGCAACCUCUGAAUUGUUUACAGCUUGUCACAAUUGUGUUAACCUCUUAAGAGGCAACUAUCACUAGGCUCUCUUCCAGCUUGAUUUCACUAUUACAUUUUUGACUUAAUCUACACAUGUUUGGGGAAGAGUUUAGAUCACUAUUAUGACUUAUGAGUAAGAGCUAGCUAUUAACUGUAUGCCUAUCCUGAGCUUGAGUACACUGCCUAUUUGGGUAGAAAUAUGUUACUUUUAUAAACAUUUUCUUUAACAAGUGUUUUGUUUUUGUUAUUUGCGUAUAUGGAUCAUACAACAUAUUUUUGUUAUUGCGGAUGUUUUGUGUAGAUAGCAUAUCAUGUCAGUCGACAGACUCGCACUCAUAACCAAGUUACCUCUCUCCGGUAGAAUUACUAACAACUGUAUUAAAACUAAAUUAUACUCUCUCUGUUUUUUAAUAUAAGUCGUUUUAGAGAAAUUUUUUUGUUCCAAAUUAUAUGUCGUUUUCGGUUUUCUAUGUAAAAUUUAUUAAUAAUUAAUGUUAUAUGACCAAUGGUAAUAUAUCUUCUAUUUUUUUAUUGGUUGAAUUGUGGUUAGGUAAAUAAUUAAUGAUGUUUUUGUUUAGAAAAUAUAAGAAAUUAAUGGUUUUUUUAAUCUACGUGCAUAGCUGUAAAAAGACUUAUAUUAAAAAACGGAGGGAGUACUAUUUGGUCAAGCCGAUUAAGCAAGCAACAAAAACACCAUGAAGACCAGAUAAAUACAUUAAACAAAUACUAGAAGACUAUAUUGUUUUUGUAUAGUUUUUAAUCGUCUUUUAUUUGUUUUACUCUGAUCAUAUAACUGUGUAUAUAUAUAUUCAGUUGUUAGCUUGACGUUGACAUAUGUUUGUUUUAAUUUAAGAAAAAGUACUGUUGUUAAAAGGAUAUAUGCUGUGCUUGUGCAUAACACAACAUUUAAGAACUUAACCCACAACCUUUUUAAGAAAUAAUUCCGUAAGAUGUAAAUCUGGUUUACGAAAGUGACACUUGAAUCUGAAGUCUAUAUCGUAUAUUAAUAUGAAUUUUGGUUGGUCUACAUGUUUUUAAGAUCAACCAAACAGCUGAGAGUAGAUGGGGAAAUAUCAACGUGAAUGUCACGUGGACAGAGUCGUGCGUGCGUGACUACUCGUGCCGUAGUGUCGGGUCGACCACUGAAGUAAUGGGCUUUAAAGGUUGAAGGACCAUAUGACUUUUUUUUUCUUGUAAAAGAUGAAGAACCAUAUGACUUGUGGGAACCACUUUUCACAUUUGUAGUCUAGCUCGUGAAAUCGAUCUGGUUUGUUAUUAUUAUUUUUUUUAGUUUUUUUUUAUUUUUUUUUGGUAAAAAAGUUUGUUAUUAUUUCAUCAGAAAAGUAGCAAAACAUAUAAAAAGAAUAAAAACUUAUUAGUUCGUACCAUUUUUUGGUUAAGAUUAUUAGUUUAUACGUGCGACGUCAUAUUUUUAAAAACUAUAACCCAUCAACAUUUUUAGACUGAAACACCGUCAAUUUUUGCAUGAUUUCAGGGAUGCAUGUAUUUUUAAAACGGAGACUACCGAACAAAUAAAUACAACAUACUAAAAUAUCUCACCAUCAUAAAUAUAUAUAUAAUGAAAGCUAAUGUGAUAUGAUAUUAAAAUCUCUAUUUUAGGAUCGGAUGCGAGUUAUGCAGCAGGAGCAGGUACAAAACGAAUAAAAUUAUACCCAAAUCUAAUAAUGUAAUGGUCACAUAAUUUACCGACAAGAAACCUAAUCCACUCGAAAACUAAAAUUCAAGAUCUAGAAGUAGUGAGAUGUAUUAUAAAGGUCGCACGUGGGAUGAUAGAAAGUGUUUGUUUGAGUGAGGGAAGGGGACAAACAAGUGUUAUAGGAAAGGGGGGAAGUGAAUGAAUCUAACUUUGUAACUCAAAAACACUGAGAAAAAAGAGAGCUUUGAGUGCUGUUUCGGACAGCUUUGGCUUAAUGUCUUGUCUCCAUCAAGUUGUAAAUACCAAAGUCUUAUCAUGUUUCUUCUAUGUCUCCUCAACUACUAUUUUACGAAUCGUACCACAAACUUUACCCCAUUCAUUCAUUAUUCAAACUUCUUGAUACAAAGAGAUUAACGGUUCAAGAUGAAACUUUAAUGAUCGUUGGAAAUAUUCAAAUAUAUAUGAUCUAACUUUGGCUUUUCAGCACCAAAAAUAAAAUAAAAAACUAUACCAAAAUCAGAAUUUCAGAGAUUCUUGUAUAGUGUAUAACUUCCUAAUUACAAAGUCAUCUUAUUCUUCAACAUCUCAUUCACAUUCCUAGGUUUUACCUUACCUCGCCUUUACACGAGGCUACACGUUCCAGAAGGAUGACACAUGAAGUCUUAUCAGUCGAGUUUUCCCCUUAAGAGGAUGAGAUAGAAGAGUUUUUUUUUUCUUCUGCUAUCCAUCUCGAUCUCGCAUAAGACCUUUGUUUGGAUAGUAACGUCAGUUGAAUUGCACGUCCAAUACAAAUGUUGAUCCAAAAUUCAGAAUCUGGCUUCUAGUAUGCCAGCAUAUCUUGUGGAUUUGCAUGUAAAAGAUCAGCUCGUCAUCAACCUCUUCCACAAUCAUUGCUUCUUAGCCUAAAAUAUACAUUGUUUUUCUUACAGUCGAUCUUGAAUAUUUGUUGUGCUUGUAACUGAAAUAAGCUCAAAACAUAUAACAAUAUAAUGUCGACCCAAAACAAAAAGAGGGGUAAACAACAUAUUUCCAUACAAAAGUAUCGUAUAUGUUCAUCUUAAUUGCACAUAUUUAACACAUUUAACGUAAAUAAAUCUAUUUACUUUCAUUUUCAAAGAUCGAAACCUGAAACCACACAAACGAAGGUUUAGUUUGGUUUUAAUGGUUUAGAAUCUAAACCGAUUUCCAAACCAAUAAACCGAUAUCAAACCAGUUGGCAUUGAACUAAAACUAAAACCUGACCCAAUCUGAUAUCCAAAUAGUGCUCUCGACCAAACUCUUUAGAAUGUUGGGUCAGUUUCUAAUACAAAAACUAUUUCUUUAAUUGGGCCUUAGCUCACAUAUAUACAAACAUGUGACAUUCCCUAAAUAAUUUGCGGUCAAGAGAGGAAGUGAACAUUUGGAGUUACAAAUCUCACUGCAAGAGAAAAGAGUUCAUGACAAAUUAAUAUCUCUGUUUUUUUUUCUUCUUGAGGACUACUGAGUUUUCUGCAAAGUACUCUACUAGUUCCAUUUCACCAGGGAGUCCUCUAAAAGUGCCUGCUAUCUCUACAAACUCGAGUGAUGACAUGAAACACUGAGGCACAUGCGUGAAUAUUAUUUUUUUUUCCCAAGACAAUGAACGAGAUAGAUUCUGAAAAUACACAACACAAUGAAUGGAUUUUAGAUAAUACUUGACAAAACACAUAACAGACUAUGCAAGCCAUUACCAAGAUUAGGGAUCUUAGAUUGGGACAAAUUUCAAGAAGAAUCCAUAUAGUAUUUAUAAAUCUAAGUAAAUUAUACAAAUCCGGAGGUUUUUUUUUGGAUUUGAGUCUUUGUAUUUUUAACUAAAAAAUCAAAACAAAUCCAUUCAAAUCCAUUAUUAAAUCAAAUAUAUUAGUAAAUCCUUACAAUUGAAUAACACUUGAUUUUAUAUAGAAUUUAUGAAUCAUUAAACCAGUAACACAUGAUUUUAAUAUAAAUUUGAAAAUCAUAGAACCAAUAACUUUAGAUUUAGUUCGGAUUUUCAAAUCCAUUAAAAUACAACAACCAAUAACCCCUACUUAGGAUAUCCAUAUCCCAAAAACAAACAUCUGCUUCCAAACAUGACAGGUUGCAAAAUUGGGGGCAAUGGCUUGAUCUUGAGGAGGAACUACUCACACACAAAACAAGAUCUGUAAGCAAAAUAUUCAUGAACGAGAAUUAUGUGGAGACAUACCCUGAAAGCUGAGUCAGAGAUCUUCAUAUCCCUAACUUGCGAGAUACUGGUGAAGAAAUGAUCAGGGGCACGCCUACCAAGAUUGACCUUGGUUAAGGAACCUAGAUUGCUUAUGGUUUUACACUCGGAUAUGAAAUCACAGAGACUCAGAUACUUGAGCCUAGGGGCAUUAAUCAAAACCCUCACAACGCUAAUACGAUCGUUAUUCUGAAAGUCAUAGUCAUGGACACAAGUUUUUAUGGUGAGACUAGUUAAUGUCUUGGAGUGCACUCGUAAAACAUUUACACCACAUGAUCCAGGCAUUCUAACAAAGCUGAAAUCUUCAAGAACUGGACAAGAUGAGAUAAGCAACUCUAGACACGCUUCAUCGGCGUAUGUAUUGUUUUCCAAACGCAUAGUCUUGAGACAAGGCAAGGAGACAGACUCCAAAGACGUGCUCCCCACAAACACCCUACAAACUAUGGUGAUUGAGUACAUGCUCACAGGUCAGAGAUAUACGCGGUCUAUCAUUGGAAGGUGAAUCACAGUUUUUUUUCUUCUCAUACUCCUUGAUUCUUAUAUGCACAAAACUAAAACUCUUGUAAGAUUGAUGAUAUCAGUGUCAGCGUUAUCAUGUUUGGCGCAUUUUUUGCUGGAGCUAGGGACUUGUCAUUUGAUUUUUUAUGGAUAUGCUGUUGUUUUCGUAGCCAAUAUAACAACAGCAGUAUAUCUAGCAACCAUCACCCGGACUGGUACAAGUUGUUAUAGUCCUUCCUACCGGUUUGAAUCCUAUCUUAGUCAAUGUCUAAUGUCUAAUUCUCCAGGGAAGUCAAGUGGUUUGAAUAGCUUUGGCCUCAUGUGGUGCAAUGGUAAUCUAAGUAGAUAGUAAGAUUGGCCUAAACUCCCAAGACUUGCUUUCAAUUUGUUAGUUUUGCAAUGAUAGGAGUUAGUUAUAUGCGAACCUAUAUUGAUGGUUAGGACAUAUAUGUGUGGUGACUGGGAGAAGACGAUUAACUUUCCUCAGCUCUUUUCUCCUGGCUUCAUGGUACUGUAAAUCUCUCUUCUGACUUAUACUGCUUAUCUGUUUUCAUGUUCACCUAGGUUGUGUUACUCUGCUUGCGUGUUAGCUUUCUUUUUCAACUACAUCAUUUUUCUUAACACCACUCUCAACUCGGCUCUCACACAGACAAUUUGUGGCAAUAUGAAGGUCGGUUUCACUGUAUAAUUUUUGUUUUAAGUUCUUUUAUGUCUAUGAUUUUGUAAACGAAAGCAGAAACUUUGAACAUUAUAUAUCAUCAUUGCAGGACCUAUUCACGGUUGGAUUAGGCUGGAUGAUCUUUGGUGGACUCCCAUUCGACCUGGUAUUAUUCUUCACCUUCCCAUUUACUCUAUUGAUCCCAAAAUCGCCUAUCUACAAUUUGCUACAUCUCAGUACUGUAAUUUUGGUUCGUUGACGCAGAUGAAUGUGAUUGGACAGCUUCUUGGCUUCUUCGGAUCUGGUUUAUAUGCAUAUUACAAGAUCAUUGGGAGGUAGCUAGAGAAGGGUGACUGACUAUAAGCCGAGGCCCCAUUUUUUGACACAUUACUGGAUUAUAAAGGAACUGAUGUUUUGAGAUUGUUUUGCUCUUUAUCAUUUUCUUAUGUUCUUUCCGUUUGAAUAUAAACUAUAGAGUGACUCGGUCUUUUCUGGGAUCUAAUAUAAAUGCGUUCACAAAUCUUACUUUUCUUUGUUAACCAUGGUAUCAACUUAUUAAGCUUUCCUUGGUUUUCAUGGCGAUGUUACAAGUGAAAGGAUAGUAUGAAUAUCUUGUUAUAGCUCUAAACAAACGGUAGGCGAGACAAGUAGGAAGAGUUUAGCUGCGAGCAUGUUGUACUCAGUUUAACAUGAAAAGUGGAUGAAAGAAGACAAAUAAGAAAAAAAUUCAGAAGACACACCCAGUGGGACUCGAACCCACAAUCGCUUGAUUAGAAGUCAAGCGCCUUAUCCAUUAGGCCAUGGGUGCUUGUUGAUCUUCAUUCCCAUUAAAUCUUGUGAUUAGGUAAGUGUUUCUAUAUUGCUCUCUGAAAAAGCAAAACAUAUCUAACCGGGAAAAAGUAAAGUAAGCUGGAAAGAAGCAGAGAGAGAUCCCUGAAGUAAACCCUGUUUCCCUUCAAAGUAUCUCCACUAUCUCUCAUCCUCUUCCACUCUGACACUCAACUUCCACACUUUUAUCUUUCUUUAGUCUGGUAUAAGAAAAGAAAAGAAAAGGAAACCAUUUGUUCUUGUUCUUGAUUUUGCGAUGGAAGUUCCACGCCGCUCUUUGGCUGCUUCUCUCUCUCCUCUCCGCCUCAUCGAUGGUCUCCCUCGCCGGAGGAGUUUUAAUUAUAACCAGAUGCCUGAGGAGCCCAUCAAACUCACUGUUCUCAAGCUUGAUGGAUCUUCCUUUGGUACACAACCAUCAUCUUCUUGCUUUCUUGUUUCUUACCAUCAAUCUUCAAGACUUGUUUCUUGAGUUAGCGGUUUACGAUUUUGUAGGUAUUGAAGUAUUGAAGACAGCUACAGUAGGUGAGCUCAAGAUGGCUGUAGAAGCUGCGUUUUCUCACUUGCCCAUCACUGGCGUUGGCAAGGUCUCAUGGUAUGAGGACUCCUCUCCUCUUGUGUCUUUAUCUUAUAUGUAAUUCUUGAUGAUCUUAAUCUUACCCUGUGAUUAUCAUUUCGAUGAAAGGCCGCAUGUUUGGGCACAGUUCUGCUUAUCCUAUGGAGAUCAAAGACUGCUCAACGAGGCUGACUACCUCAUUGAGUUUGGCAUUAAAGACGGAGAUCAGGUUUGUUGUACUCGCCUCCCUCUUUUCUUCACUCAUGUAACAACUCUUCUAAAUGAAACUACAAAGUUUGAUUCAAAUGCAUCUUUUAAUUCUUUUGGACAAACAUCAUUCAGCUUAGGUUCAUCCGCCAUAUAUCAAACUACUGCACCAUGAUGGUGAACCAUAAGAGCAAGAAGACACCACAUGUUUCUUCUUUGAAACAACUCAAACUGUAAGAAGAGUCUUUUCUCUUUCCAUUUUCUCUUCAUGUUUUUAGCAUCUCAUCAGACAGAUACAUAUUUUAGACCAUCUAGGUUCUCUCUUAAACCCGAAACCUGGAAAAAGAAAGGAGCACAAGGACAAGAAGAUGGUGUUGACUCAGUCACCAAGACACAACCAAGCUUUCUAUCGACUGUAUUGGGAGGUUGGCUCUCUUACAAGUCAACACCAAGUCGGUCUAAACACAGAAACGUGACUGCUUCUACUUCGAGUCACCUCAGAGCUUUUAACAACAUCAUCGCAAGGUUUCGUUUCAAGUGUUACUCGGAGAAAGAUGUCUGGAACAGGAAAAAACUCAUCUCUGAAAACAUGAAAUAAUACUCAUUACUAUCUGUCUGCUUCUGAUUUGGUUCUUGUAGAGAUUUUGAUUUCCCAGUGUUCAUGUUUAUAUGUAAGAAACAAAUCAUAAGACAAGUCUGUGGUUUUAUAAAAGAUGAUGUUAUAUGCUUGAUACCAUCAAACAUCAUACAAGAGUCUUACUACGUUCAAAGAAAGUGAAACAAUGUUAUUAUGUACAUGUACCCAUACAUAGAUUAUAUAAGAGCAUUACCAGACCAAAGCAAUAUCCUUAAACACUGAACACAAGCCACUUUGAUUUGCCAGAGUCCUGACCAUCAACAAUCUGACAAUCACCACCUUGUCCACCAGAGCCAUCCCUCUGUUUCCCAUCCUUUGAUCUUCCUGCUUUCUUCCCAACUAACAACCCCAACUUCAUCGCUGUCAACAGACCCAUGGCAAUCAGCAAAGGUCUCACAGCCCAGUGAAAGUCCUCCAGAUGCUGAUACUUUUUCACAACUCCUUCACAUGUGUUGAAGUCCACAAUCUCCACUUCAGCUGGAUCCGCAAGACAGCUGCUUCCAUGUUCCUCUCCGAAAGGCAACGCUCCAGGGAACUCCACCUCGAGGCAACCGUUUGGUAAAACCUUAGAGAUCCUGCCCGUUGCCCAAAUCCCUCUACCUUUACGCAUCCACUUGAAUCUUGGGAUGACGACAUUGGCUUUGAUCUUCACGAACUGACCCACACUGUAUCCUUUAGCCAUCUGAAGCUGCGAUGAAGUUCCUUUCCAGAGAGUUGGCAGCCCUAUAAACCCAACAGCUACAUUACCCUCACGGUCUAUUGAAUGUAUAACACCAACAAGAGAGUGCCUCUUGUCUUCUCCAUCCUUCAGACGCACCCAAUCUCCAGCAGCUAAGCCGUUAGUUACCCGUUCAAGAACAGAGACAUGAACUCUUAACGGAUCAUGAACACCAUGGACUUUAACGAGAGCAAACUCAUCUGGAUCGGUGUCACGUUCUAGACCAACCACUGUUCCUUCUGGCACAUCCAUGUUCUCAUGCUUAAAAGAAUUGGCAGGCUUUCUUGAACGCACCGUGUCGCCCACUCGGAGUUGAUCCUUUGAAAGAAACCAUUCUGUGUAACCGAGAGCAGCCGAGCUCUUCCUGAUCUCUCUACUGUCAAUGCCUCUCCACACCUCUUCCUCCUCUGAGUCCUGCAAGCUGCACAAUCAUUUCCAGUUAAUAUCACAAACCAAGAUGGACGAAGACGGGCAAGAGACGGUUUACCUCUUCAAGACGUGUAAGAUGUCAGUCAUAGAUGGCCUGCUUCGAAGAUCAUACAUAAAGCAACCUCUAAGUAAGUUCUCAAGAGGAGGCGGUAUGCCACUGGGGAUGCUACUCUUUUCUUGCUUUCUGACCACUAAGUUGUAUAUCUCAUCGGCGGAUUUGCCACACCAAGGCUGCACACCGGUCAGCAUUUCCACAACGCUGCAACCAAACCCCCAAGAAUCAGUCUCAAAGGACAUGGGACCUCUUACUAUUAAUAUCACAAACCAAGAUGGACGAAGACGGGCAAGAGACGGUUUACCUCUUCAAGACGUGUAAGAUGUCUGUCAUCGAUGGUCUGCUUCGAAGAUCAUACAUAAAGCAACCUCUAAGUAGAUUCUCCAGAGGAGGCGGUACACCACUGGGGAUGCUAAUCUUUUCUUGCUUCCUGACCACUAAGUCGUAAAUCUCAUCGGCGGAUUUGCCAGACCAAGGCUGUACACCGGUCAGCAUCUCCACAACGCUGCAUCCAAACCCCCAAGAAUCAGUCUCAAAGGACAUGGGACCUCUUAAUUCCGGUUGCCACUGCUCUGGAGCCAUGUAGUUUGCAGUUCCAAGCCUCAUUGUCAUAUCAGAACUCGGCAGAGGGAUGCUAAGAAGGAGAUAAGGGACUCCAACGUCUCCGAGGAUGGCCUUGUCGUUAUCACUGAGAAGAAAGUUAGAGGGCUUGAGAUUAAGAAUCAGAAACCCUUUUGAGUGCAGCUCCAGGAUCCCUGUAACCAGAUCAACGCCGUACCUGUGGUUCAACAUAGAUAAAGAAGACAUUAGUAUCACUACUAGCUGCUUGCUUGUAUAAUGCAAUGUUACCUCAACACAUCAGGCAGUGAAAGCUUUCCUCCUUUAAGCCUAGCCAUCUUGUCACCAACACAGCCCUCAUAGAACUUCAUGAUAAUACAUAUCUACAAAACACAAAUUUUUAAACAAAAACGGAAACUAAGAGAAACCACCACAUGUUGUCUUUUUUAACUUACCCUUCCACUGAUACUAGAGACACCACGGAGCAUACAGACACUCUCAACCCCCUGACACUUGGAAAACAAAUCCUCAAACUUAUCAACCACAACCUUCCUCUGAUCCUCCUUGAUGGGAUGAAGCAUUUUGAUGGCGACUUCAUGAUGCUCAUCGUAGUCCUCGGUAGACUGAUGAUGAGUAGCCAACCAAACGUCACCAAAUGGACCUCUUCCAAUCCGGUGGCGAAGCUUCAAAGUUGCAGAGUUCAUCCAGGGGCUAGCACCGGUUGCUAAAGCGCUCUCGGAGCCACCUUCAAUGAUCUCGUACUCAGAAUCAUCAGGCUUCUGAGGAGCUAUCUUUGAAUCCAUAUCUGAAACCAGGAGAAAAAAAUAUAGUUUCACAAGUUACAACUCAAAGUUUGUUAAGUAAGAACUCAAAUCUCACAAACCUAUGUUUGGUAAUAAAAAGGAACAACCUUUCAGUUAUUUAACUAUCGUUAUGAAGCAAAAAAUGUGAAACAGAUUCGUCACAAGUCAGAUACGUGUGUGAGUUCUAUUUUGAAGAGAAGUAAGCGAUACAAACAAGGGACAAAGACAAGUGUCGUGGAGAUGUAGAAGUAGGAGAAGGAGAACAAGCAACAGUAUCCCAUCACAAUGGAACUCAAUUAGCGCAAGAUAUAGAACCAUAAGUCAAAUCUCAUUAGAUCAGAAUUUGCAAAACGAAUGUAAUUAAAAUGAAAGUUAACUCGAGUUACAAAGAAAAAAUCUCAAAAAAAAAAAAUCACGGAGAAGGAGAGUAACCGAGCAAUGAAGGAGAUAAACUUGCGUUAUGUCGACGGAUUAAGGCUUUUGAAGGUAGUGACGGCGAAGACAGAAGACAAAUGAUAGAAACCUAACACCGCCGGUAAUGAUAACUACAAGUUCCUGAUGAAAGAGAGAAAACAAACAAAUAACUUAGAGACGAUCAUCGGAAACUGAAACAAGUAACUUGAGAAGCUGAUAAAGACAGGGAACCGAGAGAGAGAGAGAGAGAGAGAACCUGUGAAGGAAGAAGGCGUGGAGGCCCCGUAAGUUUUUGUUUAAUGAGACACACCUUACCGUACUUAAUACCACAACCACAACAAAGCCCACUUUACUUCAUUUUAUGUCAACCAAAAAAAAACUCUUUUUAUUUUUAAUUUUGUUGUUAUUAAAAGCUUUUUUUUUUGGUUAAGAGGUUAUUGGUUGGUGUAUUUUGAUACAUUUGAAAAUCUAAACUAAAUUUUAGUGUUAUUGCUUCUAUGAUUUUAAAAUAUGUAUUGAAAUCAUGUGUUAUUGGUUUAAUGAUUCAUAAAUUUUAAUUCAAAUCAAGUGUUAUUCAAUCAUACGAAUUUAUUAAUAGAUUUAAUUUCAUAAUGGAUUUGAAUUGAUUUGCAUGAAUUUCUUUGUUAAAAAAUACAAAAACUCAAAUCCGAGGGAAAACCUCCGAAUUUGUAAAUAAUAAUCCGAAAAUUUUUGAAAUUUGUAUAUUUUACUUGGAUUUAUAAGUACUAUAUGGAUUUUUAAAUCAAUCCAAAUAUAUAAACCAAUAACAUCUAAAACAUAUUAAGAAAUUUUAUAUUAGUGCAAAGUACACCAUGUUUAGCUUAUCAUAGUACCGAUCACACAACAAAUACGAUUUCAUGAUUGUAUCCACGACAGUAAGACUGAGGACCAUAGCUUCAGGUGUUACGGUGGUGUGAGUGGAACAAGACUGUAAUGCUAUUCACACCAAGUAGUUUCCUCUCUUUUUCGUCUGUUGCUCAGGCGCUGUACAAACAAACAUCACAUCUCGUGACAACAAACGCCGACAACAGUGAAGGUUGAAGUUUGGGCUUCCUUGCUGGACCUGAGCCCAAGAGCCCAUUUUGCGGUUUUGUGAAUCUCCUUUAGUUCACAAAACAUCUUCAAUGUCUUCAAUGUCUCUCUGUUCUUCUUACUUCACUCGCAGACACAACCCUCAAUUGCUCUUUGUUUUCGUUUCAAGAAGAGACAUGUAAAUCUCGUGACAAUAAGAGUCUAUGAAGAUUCAUCCAAAAUCAAAUUUUCAAUCUUUAUCAAACUAAAUAAGAAAAGAGAGCUAAUCAUUUAUAAAAACUUACAUAUAAAAUUGUUGUUGAUUCAUCCAACGAUCAGACAAAGACAUAGAGAGAAAAGAAGAGAGAUUUACAGUAAUUUCAUAUAAAUUGAGGAUUGAGAAAAGACAGAACACACAAGAGUUUGUAUUAAGAAGGAAGAACCUUCUUGACAAUGUCUUCACUAAGAGCAGCGAUCUGAGAAUCAAGAGCCUUAAUGGUCUCCUCCUUCUGCUUCUCCAAGCUCGCCAAAGCUUCCUGCAGCUCCGCCUCCACCUUCUUCCUCCCUACCGCCAGCUGCUGCUCCACCUCCACCUGUCCCAACACAAACAACCAUCAAUGCCUUUCUCACAAUCAGACAUCACAAAUGUCAGUUAACGUUUCCCUUACCUCCGUCUCCUUCUUCAUCUUGUUAAGCGCGGCGGCGAUCUCAGCCCUAGCCGCCCUCAUCACAGCAGCCGCCUGUUCAUCGAGCGCCUUCACCUCAGUGGAAGUAUCCUUCACGCUCGCGAGCUUCUCCUUAAUCUCACCGUCUCUCUUAUCCAUAAAGUUCCCGAGGGGAGAGUAGUAGACUUUGUCGAGCGCGAACAUGAGGAAGAGAAACUCCACGACGAUGAUCGGGAGCGUCAGGUUGAAGUCGAAGAGCUGGGCCUUCUCCAUAGCUUCGGCCAUGGAAGGGGGAGCGAGGGCGGCGAUUAAAGCUAGAGACUUUACGGUGGCGGAGGAGAAAGACAGAGCCUUGCUGCUGAGGGAGGAGGAGGAGGAGGAGGAGAUGGGUUUGGGGAUCUGGGGGAGUUUGAUGGAUUUGGGGAGGUUGACGCGGGUUGGUUGAGUGGAGGAGGAGAGGGAGAUGAGGGGUUUGGAGGAAGCCAUUAUCGAGUUAGCCAUGGCGACACGAGCAGAGACAGAGAGAGAGGGAGAGAGCUUUCGCUUUGAGAGAUGAGAGAAUGCUCAAAAACUGAUCUCUCUGUGUAAUCUUCUUAGGAAUGUUAUCUCUUCUCUUCACCACACAAAUAAUCAAAGGCUGUGGUGGUGAGCUUACAAAUGUAAUGUAAGGACCCGAAAAAAAAUUAUAUAAAAACAAUAAACAAAUAUAAAAAGUUAUAUAUAAAAAAAAUUGCAUUUUUUAAUACUCUCCCGUUUUUACAAAAUCUUUAUUUUAGAAAAAGUAUAUUUUCUAUGCAUUAAUUAAUAAUAAAUUUUAAAAACAAUAGUUAUUUUAUUGUAAUUCAUUUGGUUAAAAUGUUAAAAUGGUUAAUUAAAAAAAAUAGAAAUUAAUGGUAUUAGCUUACUGUUAUUUUAUCACAAAUUUAAAGUAUUUGGAAAAAUAGUUAUUCAUUAAUGAUAAAUUUGAAAAGUAGUAUCAAAUUUGUGGUAUAAUUGAAAAUUUUCCUUAAUAUAUUUUAUACGUGUAAAAAUUGUAAAAUUAUAAUUCUUUUUAACAGACGGAGUUUAUAAUUACUUUUUGGUUAAAUCGCAAAUGUAAAUGUAAACAAAUGAUGUCAAACAAAUAAAUACCAGACUUGUCUUACCAUUAACCAUAAUGUCAUUGAAGAUCACAGAUGUUUUAUCCUUACAAGGUGACCUAAGAGGAUACAAGUCUCUUGCUACAUGUCUAACCUUCUCAAAGACAGUCCUUGAAUGCAGAACAGAUCUUAGUUUUGAGACAACAUAUUUAUUCAACACCCGGUAACUCUACAUAUAUCCACAUAAAAAAUCACAUCACAGAUCAAGCUUAUAAAGUUAAUCUGUAUGAUCUAAUCUUCACAAUCCAUUAAUGCAUGUGGAUGUAGUACCAUCAACGAUUCCUGCAUUCUCUAGGAGCUUCUCUGUCAAUGACCAGAGCCUCCCAACUUCUGAUUUCACCUCAGCAAUACAAUCGGCUGAACUGUUUUCGUUCUCUGGCACUACAAAGAAAUCAGAAUCUACCUCCACACUCAUGUCAGCUUGACUUAGAAGCUCUGUGCUCAUCUCCGCAAGCUUCUGUAACGCGCUCGUUGCAGCUUCCACUUCAAGUUGAGCUGCUUCAAGCUGAAGCUUCUCUAUAGCUAGAUCACCCAUUGUUCUCCCCUCGAUCCUCUCUUGCGCCAAUGCAUAUAGCAUUUUCAAAUCUUCACCGUCAUUAACCGUUUCUUCUUUUAGUUUCUUGACUUCCCUCUCCUUGGCUUCUAGUCUCCCCAUGAGUACAUUGAUCUCUUCGUCCUUCAACGUCAGAGCCCUCUGCGCAGCUAAAACUUCCAUCUCUUUCAACCGUAGAUUCUCUCUGGUGAAGUUUAGCUCCAUCACUAGCCGUUUGUUCUCCAUCCCGUAAUCACCAUAAGGUUGUUUCUCUAGUGGUUGUUGCUGCAUCUGAUCUUGAACCAAUCUGCUCGUCAGCUCUGCGAUUCUCUCCACCACCAUCUCAGCUUCACUGGCUUGAAUCUUGGAGCUGCCUAACUCGUCUUCGAUUCUGUUAAGGUGGACAUCUUUCUCCUUCAGUAAUUCAGUUGCCUGCGUAAGCUGAUCUUCUCUAGUUCUCAUAAGCAUCUUCAGCUCUGUAACCUCCCGGUUCACCACUUCCAAUUGAUUCCUCGCUUCCGUGAGCUCUUCAUCUUUCUCUUGCAGUAACAGCUCUAGAGAAGCCUGUUCAGACUUUAAAUGCUGAAUCUCUAGCUUAGCCUCCACCAAGCUUGACUCCUUCUCCUGAAGUAGAGUCUGUGAGACUUGAAACUCGUUUGUUUUCUUGUCAAGCUCGUCUUGUAUGGUGGAGACAUCAUGCAUAGCUUGCUCCAACAGAGACUUCUCUUUCUUCAACUCCUCUCGUAGCUCCUCCAGGAGUUCUUUUUGGAUUGAUAUCUCUCGCUCGAGUGCAAAGUUCUUAGCCUCCGCGACUCUGAGCUUUACUCUCUCACUCUCCACUUCACCGCGAGCGUCUCUCAAGCUUUGCAUAUACGACAACACGCUUCUCCUCUGCUCCUCAAGUUCCUCUAACUGUUUCUCUAAUAGCACUUCCUUUUCUCCCAUCUGCUCUCUUGAAGAUAACAAAACUUCCCGAGAUGAAACAAGCUCGAAUCUCACAUCGGUCAGAAGCUUCCUCACUCUCCUAAAGUCCUCCAUGGUUUCAUUAGCUUCUCCUAACCGCUUUACUGUCUCCUCCUGAAGCUUACUCACUUCCUCCUGAGCCACCAACCACUCUUCCGUCUGCUUCUUCAAGCUGGCUUCUGUUUCUCUGAGCUUCUCCUGCUCAAGCUUCUUCGCCGCCGUAGAAACCUCUAGCUCUUCUUCCUUCUCCUUGAGUGCUCUCUGAAGCGCUUCUAUCUCAUCUUCUUGUCUCUCCACAAUCUCAUUAGCUUGGAUCAAGAGCUGUGACUUGUUCUCAAACUCAAAACUCGCCACGGAAACCUCCUUGGUUUUGAUCGAAAUCUCAACGCGCAUUCGAUCCAGCUCACGUUCUUUAAAAGUCAAUGACGCUUGCAUAGCAACAAGCUCCUCGUCUCUUUCCNNNNNNNNNNNNNNNNNNNNNNNNNNNNNNNNNNNNNNNNNNNNNNNNNNNNNNNNNNNNNNNNNNNNNNNNNNNNNNNNNNNNNNNNNNNNNNNNNNNNNNNNNNNNNNNNNNNNNNNNNNNNNNNNNNNNNNNNNNNNNNNNNNNNNNNNNNNNNNNNNNNNNNNNNNNNNNNNNNNNNNNNNNNNNNNNNNNNNNNNNNNNNNNNNNNNNNNNNNNNNNNNNNNNNNNNNNNNNNNNNNNNNNNNNNNNNNNNNNNNNNNNNNNNNNNNNNNNNNNNNNNNNNNNNNNNNNNNNNNNNNNNNNNNNNNNNNNNNNNNNNNNNNNNNNNNNNNNNNNNNNNNNNNNNNNNNNNNNNNNNNNNNNNNNNNNNNNNNNNNNNNNNNNNNNNNNNNNNNNNNNNNNNNNNNNNNNNNNNNNNNNNNNNNNNNNNNNNNNNNNNNNNNNNNNNNNNNNNNNNNNNNNNNNNNNNNNNNNNNNNNNNNNNNNNNNNNNNNNNNNNNNNNNNNNNNNNNNNNNNNNNNNNNNNNNNNNNNNNNNNNNNNNNNNNNNNNNNNNNNNNNNNNNNNNNNNNNNNNNNNNNNNNNNNNNNNNNNNNNNNNNNNNNNNNNNNNNNNNNNNNNNNNNNNNNNNNNNNNNNNNNNNNNNNNNNNNNNNNNNNNNNNAUGUCUAUCAAAAAUCCACCCGCAAAGAAUCAGCCUUUUGGCGGCAAAACAGUUAUGUUAGGUGGUGAUUUCAGACAGAUCCUACCAGUCAUUCCGCAAGGUGGAAGAGCUGAUACUGUAUUAGCUUCGAUAAGCCAUUCAUAUAUAUGGAAUAGCUGCCAGAAGUUCUCUUUGAAAACAAAUAUGCGAGUAAAUCAGGAUGAGAAAGAGUUUUCUGAAUGGCUUCUCAGAGUCGGGGAAGGUCGUCUAGAAGCAGAACAAGAAUAUGAGGAGGAUGGGUACCAUGACCAAUUCAUAGAUAUCGAUGAAUCAUUGAUUUGUCAGAGUUUUGUUGACCCAUUGAAAGAAGUUGUUGAUGCCGCAUAUGGACAAAUCAGCAGCCCGAUGAAUUCCAAGACUUCCUACACCGAUAAAGCUAUCCUCACACCCCGUAACGAAACCGUUGAUGAAAUCAAUGCUUACACCAUCUCACGGACCGACGGGGUAUCAAGAGAUUACUACAGCUCAGACAGCUUUGAGUUAUCAGAUACUACAUCAGAUCAAAAUGAUAGACUAUACUCCAUUGAGUAUCUUAACUCAUUGGAAUUCUCGGGUUUGCCUUCGCACAAACUUACUCUGAAAGUUGGUGCCCCAGUUAUGCUUCUCAGAAACAUAAAUCAGAAAAAGGGAUUAUGCAAUGGUACGCGGAUGAUCCUAACCCACGUUGGUGAACGCGUUCUGAAGGCCGAGAUCAUCACUGGAUCCCACAUUGGAGAAGAGGUCUUGAUCCUAAGAAUUGUGUUUUUGUAUGAUGAAACAAAAUUACCGUUCACAUUACGUCGGCGGCAAUUUUCUAUCAGAUUGUGCUACGCAAUGACAAUCAACAAAAGCCAAGGCCAGAGUUUAAAAGAGGUCAUCUUAUAUCUGCCUCAACCAGUCUUCUCUCAUGGUCAACUUUACGUGGUCCUCUCCCGUGUCACAAGCAAAGCAGGAUUAACGAUCAUCAAAACUGAAGAUCCCCACCAGCUGAAAGUGAAGAAUAUAGUCUACAAAGAAAUAUUCAAAGGCCUUCAUCCCGAGACAAGUAAUUUUAAAUAAAUUAUUUUUUUCCUCUCAUCUUUUUCAGAAAUCUGAUAAAAUAUUAUAUUCACAGAUUAACAAUCUCGAAAAUAUAUCGACCAAGCGAUGAUACAAGCCAAUAAAGAAGAGACUUACACAUAGGUUUACUCCACCUAAGCCAGGUACAAAACUUUUAAUAUAAAUAGCAAUACUACUAUAUUCAACUAAACUUAUGCUGACUAACUAUUCUUAUCCAAUUUCAGGUCUUUUCUUUCUCAUGACCCUCAAAAAAACUUCUGAUCUGCGAAAGACUUAAUCUGCUUCCUCCAUUAUCUACUUUACUUACAGUUUUUUUGGCUUUUAAACAUUUGCGUAAACUCGAUAUACACAAAUUUUCCACACAUAUUAUAACACACAAUCUUUCCAUCUCAAACAAAAAUAUUGAUUACCAACAAACUUUUUGUGUUCAAACAAACAAUACCUACAUCUAAUAUGAUAUUUUGGAUCAAAAUUUUAUUAGAAAAUAACCCGGGCGUAGCCCGGGAACUGACCUAGUCAUAAUAAUAGUUGCUCACAAGAAAAAGAAACAUUCUUAAGGUUACGAUAAUAAUAGUCGCUCAAAACAAAAAAAAGUUUACCAUAAUCUUAUACAAUAAAUAUGGCUUUUUUUUUUCCCCUAGAGGGAAAAAACACGUCUCGCACAAUGUUUUUAAUUUUCAAAGAUUCUUUGUCGUUACAAUCUCUUAAUAAAGCUGGCCUAUGUUACAUUUUUUUUUACAUUAUUGUAAAAGCCCAAGCCCAAAAUUGCUUAAAACAAAGUCGAAGUUUUAUAUCCACUAGCUCUUACCCUUGCAUCGCCUCACCUUCUUCAUCUUCCUCAAUCGCGUCGGCUUACCCAGCCGUUUCAACCUCGACUGGCAUUCCUCCAUAACGUCGGCUUAGCACGUUUUUCCGUCUUAAAACUAGCGCCGCUAUCAAUCGAUCACAUUUAACCAAUGAAAAAGGAAGUACAUCAACAGAGAAGGCAACGACAACCAUAGAUUUUUGAAUUAAAAAAGUGAAUAUAAUGAUAAAUGUUCUUUGUUAAAUAACACAAAUGGCAAACACUCCGAACUCUCGUGACGGUAACAGUCUAUGAAGAUUCAUCCACAACAGUUCAUCGAAAUUUUCAAUCAGAAUCAGACUCAAUAAGAAAAGAGAGCUAAUCAUUUAUAGAAACUUACAUAUAAAAUUUGUUCUUCUUGAUUCAACGAACAAUCCAAGAGAGACACAGAGAGAGAAGAUGAGAGAGAUUUACAGUAAUGUCUUAUAAAAUGAGAUUGAGAGAGAGAGAGAGAGAGAACACAGAAGAGUUUGUUUUUAAGAAGGAAGAACCUUCUUGACAAUGUCUUCACUAAGAGUAGCGAUCUGAGAAUCAAGAGCCUUAAUGGUCUCCUCCUUCUGCUUCUCCAAGCUCGCCAAAGCUUCCUGCAGCUCCGCCUCCACCUUCUUCCUCCCUACCGCCAGCUGCUGCUCCACCUCCACCUGUCCCAACACAAACAACCAUCAAUGCCUUUCUCACAAUCAGACAUCACAAAUGUCAGUUAACGUUUCCCUUACCUCCGUCUCCUUCUUCAUCUUGUUAAGCGCGGCGGCGAUCUCAGCCCUAGCCGCCCUCAUCACAGCAGCCGCCUGUUCAUCGAGCGCCUUCACCUCAGUGGAAGUAUCCUUCACGCUCGCGAGCUUCUCCUUAAUCUCACCGUCUCUCUUAUCCAUAAAGUUCCCGAGGGGAGAGUAGUAGACUUUGUCGAGCGCGAACAUGAGGAAGAGAAACUCCACGACGAUGAUCGGGAGCGUCAGGUUGAAGUCGAAGAGCUGGGCCUUCUCCAUAGCUUCGGCCAUGGAAGGGGGAGCGAGGGCGGCGAUUAAAGCUAGAGACUUUACGGUGGCGGAGGAGAAAGACAGAGCCUUGCUGCUGAGGGAGGAGGAGGAGGAGGAGGAGAUGGGUUUGGGGAUCUGGGGGAGUUUGAUGGAUUUGGGGAGGUUGACGCGGGUUGGUUGAGUGGAGGAGGAGAGGGAGAUGAGGGGUUUGGAGGAAGCCAUUAUCGAGUUAGCCAUGGCGACACGAGCAGAGACAGAGAGAGAGGGAGAGAGCUUUCGCUUUGAGAGAUGAGAGAAUGCUCAAAAACUGAUCUCUCUGUGUAAUCUUCUUAGGAAUGUUAUCUCUUCUCUUCACCACACAAAUAAUCAAAGGCUGUGGUGG